AGGGAUAACGCUUACAGACACCAGUACAACUCUGGACACUAGUAGUGUCACAUCUUCACCAGCAGAUGCCCAUACAGUGACUAUUCACCUGAAAGUUUCUGUUUUACGCCAGAAUGAGGACACUGAAGAUGUGAUUUUUAAGGCUUUAUCCAAUUUUAUUUCCCAGACCCUUCACCAGUUGAACUGUGAGGGAUGCUCAUCGGCCAUCAGACAGAUCAAACCCACCCGAUCAAAAGCCCCCGUUUCAGCCAACGGGAGCACCAGUGUGGCUGUAGCUGUACUGUGACAACAGGCUG